GGCCGGCGCGCAGGCAUGCGGACGCCUACACGAAUACAUAGGCACGCGAUUCCGUCGCCACCUCUCGGACCAGCAGCCCACGUCCAACGCUGGGCCGACCCCAGAUACACAGGCAGUCGGGAUUCCCGCCCGGUGCGCUUGUCUAUUCAUCCCUCUGCGUCAGGCUGGGACGCGCUCCGUCUGUAAAAGGCUCAAACGCAUCUCCCGCCGCGGGGCGGGAUCUAGGGGCCCAGGCCCCGGGGUCCAGAGGCGGGUAACUUUGCUAAUCUCCCCCAGCGGCGGGGAACGUCGCGCAACCGCUGAGCCCUGUCCGCCGAGACUAAACAAGCAGAGGAACAGGCUGUAAACACACAUCCUGACACGCAGGGAUGUUGCUCUUGGAGAAUGUGAAGACAGUUUGCUUCUUGACAAGCGAGCGAACGGGCGCCCAGAUUUUUGCAGCCUUUCCGAGUCUCCCCCGAGGGAGAGGCGGCAGAGAAAACGCCGGAUUUGGGAGCCACCAGGGAAGGAUCCGCGCAGGGGAGCCGCCCUCCUUGGCCCCAGACCCGCCUGCCUGGGGCCCCCUUUGCUCACUGUCAAUGUAUGGUCUGAAGCUCUGAGGAUGGUGCUGGGGACUGGGGUCGGGGGAAGCCUCUUGAAUAAUAACUGCAAAGAAGAAAGAGGCGAGAACGUCUCCCUAACCUUGAAGCAGAAAGGACUGUGUUCUUAAAGCUGUUGGCUGCAGUCACAGGGCCAGUUGCCCGCCUCUGUUCCCUGAGUAAAGUGUAACAUCUUCUGUCCUCCUGGCUUGCUUGCACCAUUCAGCAAAUUAUACUCCUUCCUUACCAAAGUGGGAAUGCUCAGGGAAGUGUGUGUGUGUGUGUGUGUGUGUGUGUGUCCCCUCUGCACUGAGGCUGCUGUUAGAGAUGUUACCAAUUUAAACCUUCCAGAAUCCUGGAGGUUUACAUUUUGUAAAGGGAGGGGACACUCCUGGACUGUCACAAUCCCAAUUCUGGUUAGAGUGGCAGGGACUGAACAAAGCCACCAACAUGCAAAAGUCCAUCUCCAGAGUAGCAUGCAUGCCCCCAGGAAACCCCCAGUGGGAUAUGCUUCCUGCACUUUCCCCUUCUCUCUAACCUCUGUCUCCUGUUUGUAAGGCAGAGGAAGGGUGAUUCCUUGCCACUGCACAGGAAUGCAGGGUUAGGGUUAUCUCCAAGAAAGGGUGGGGUGAGGCUGAGUCACAGGGAGAGCAGAAAAGCUCUGUAUCUUCAAUGAGGACCCACACACACACACCUUUCCCAGGCUUGUGGGCCUCAUUCAGCAAAGCAGGGAGUGUUUUAUAUUGAUGCGAGAGGCUGUCAGUCAGCAGUAAAUCAGUUCAGGCAUAGCUAUCUCUUUCUUUACGAAAUCAGCUCAUUGCCUUGGUCACACUACACAGAAAAUCUGCUUAUCACCGCUAUCGACAAUAAAAAUUAGUGGAGCCUUAGUUGUUUCCGAAGAGGAACCCCGUGUCUGUGACAUUAGAAUAGAUAAGUGGCUUGGCCUGUUGCAGGCAGAGAGAAGCCCAAUUCCUCCUCCUCUUCUCCCUGCAGCGAUCUGAACAAUUCUGAAACCGCCUCCCUGGGCGUCAGCUGAGCAGGUUGGGGAACUAACCAGGGCUCUCUCUCUAGGGCCCUGUUAAAUGCACUGAACUUAAAAUGAAACACGAAGUGUGAAUUUCAGGUUUGAACAUGAUGCAUCAGGAAACGUGGAGGUUGGCAGCCCUUUUCCUCCCUCCUGCUUUUCAGUAGCAGGUAUUAAUAUUGUAUUAAAUGUUAUGAGAAAGUAAAGGCUGCGGAGAGGAAUGUGCUCAGAUGCAAUUUUGUCAAGGUUUUUAUCUGUGAUUAUGAUUCCAGAUGUAGAAACUCCCGGAGGAGGGAAAUGAGGGGCUGCUGGCAUGUGACAUGUGUUUUAAGGUGUUUGGCAGUGUUUCUCAAAGUGGUGACAAAAUGUUCAAUUUUAUUACAGGGAAUUGGUAAAAGAAAUAUGAAUACUAGGUCAGAGAUUGUUCACCUCAGCAAAAGGAUUUACCAUUAUUGAUUAGGGUGCAGAAAGUAUGUAUCUAGGUCCUGCUUAAAUCACAUUGUCAACAAUAUAAAUCUGUCAGAUCAGAUUUUUCUGAAAGAACAAUUAUAACAAAAUACACUAUAGCUAAUUGC
rnacentral:lncRNA from 10 species